AUAGACAAAUGCACACACACACGUACGCCGCGCGUGCAGAUACAAUCAGCUUAAUGCUUCGAAGGCCAAGGGCUAGCUAAGCUUCAAGUUCAUGAAAUUCAGGCAAUUAACUGCAUUCAACUAAUUUUUUAACUGAAACUAUAGGAGAACAGACAAAUUAUGGAACUGUCAGGAGAUAGUUAACGGUACAAAUUUUUAUUGAUAUAUGGCCAAAAUCAAAGAAGGGUGUUGGUAACCAACAAGUCAGAGGAGACCUCAAAACAGGAGCUGCUUAGGGUGGUGUGCACAACAUUUGGAGUGAAAGAAGAAGAUAUUUUUCCUGUAGACAUGGCAAGACAAAUUCUACGAUUUUGCAGACAUGGAAGAGGACGAACUUGUGACAGGGCCAUUGAGAGUAAAAAUUACAAACUACCUGUGGUCCUCGGUGCACAGCAACUGGUGAAUGGUGGAGAGCACAUAGAGUGGAUGAGCACUGAAAAAAAGGCAGCCAGACUUCAAGAGAGUUGAGUUCUGCAUGCAGAAGACACUGGCAGACAGAAGGGCAUGGAUCAUAAAUUCUGUCCCUCGGCCAAGGAUCACUGAUGACCGACUGAAGUAUCCUUGGCUCUUUGAUGAGGAUCAGGUAAUCUAUGCAGAGUUUUCUCACCAGAUUUUGAAAUAUACUGAAUAUCCCGAGAUUGAUUGAAUGCUGACGGACGUUGAUAGAGUUGCUUAUACAAUGUUUCCCUAUUACAGUGAUUUACAGAAUGUAUUGGAAACUUCUAACUCCACAUGGAUUAUCCAAACUUGCUCAUAAACUUAAUUUAUUCAAGACUGCGUAAGGUGUGAACUUCAUAUGUGGUCCUUGUAUGUAAAAUUCAGGUUAUUUUCUUGUCAAAGCAAUAUCACCUAAACAGCUUGAGGUAUGGAUGUAAAAACUUGGUGUUUAACAUGUACCAUCAUUAGGAAGACGAUUUGAAUGGAUUUUGGAAUAUGUAGGUCAAAGGUCAAUUUGUGAAAUUUAUUUGUUUAAACACAUUGUCACCUUAACAAUUUGAAAUAUAAAUGUGAAACUUGGUGCUAACAUGUACCACUAUAGGAGAUGAUCUGGAUAUAUUUUGGAAUAUGUAGCUCGAAAGUAAAUUUGUGAAAUUCAGGUAAUAUCUUUGUUAAUGCAAUGUCACCUUAACAGUAUGAAAUAUGGAUGUAAAACCUGCUAGCAUGUAUCACUGGGAAGAGGAUGCAUUGAGUAGUGUAUGUUUCAUUGACUGUUUUUGAAAAUUUGACUCAAUGUCUCUAAUCUUCAAAUUAAAGGUCUAGUCCACCCCAGGAAAAUGCUGAUUUGAAUAAAUAGAGAAAAAUCAAACUAGCAUGAAAUUUUAAAGUUUCGCUUAUUUUCAACAAAACAGUGAUAUGCACAACUAGGUGAGCCAAUGAUGUCACUCACUAUUUCUUUUGUUUUUUAUUGUUUGAAUUAUACAAUAUUUAAAUUUUUACGAAUUUGAUGAUUAGGACCUCCUUGCCUGAAGCACAAAAUGUUAAAAUAAUUGAAUUCCACGUGUUCAGGGACGAAUGAAACUUCAUUUCACAUGACAAUGACGAGAAAAUCAAAAUAUUUCAUACUUCAUAUAAUAAAAUACAAAAUAAAUAGUGGGUGAGUGAUGUCAUCAGUUCCCUCAUUUGCAUACCGACUGAGGUGUGCAUAUAAGCGUUUUGUGAAAUGAAGCAAAACUUUAAAAUGUCAUAACUUUCUUUUUUUACAUCCGAUUUUGAUGAAAUUUUCAGUGUUAUGCUUGUUGAAUUUUUCUCUUUUUAUUCAAAUCAAGGUUUUUUUUUUUUUUUUUUUUUUGGGGGGGGGGGUGGACUUGUCCUUUAAUCUUGCCAUAUCUGUGCUACCUCUGUGUGUGAAAAGUACAUUAAUUUAUUUAGUUUAUUCAGGGAUUUUUUUUUUGUAUAUACAUAUAGUCUUUCUACCUUGUCUUCUCAGUCAAACCAAAUCUUAUAAGAUCAACAGC